GACGAACGCUGGCGGCGUGCCUAAUACAUGCAAGUCGAACGAGUGGCGGACGGGUGAGUAAUGCUUGGGAAUCUAGCUUAUGGAGGGGGAUAACUACGGGAAACUGUAGCUAAUACCGCGUACCAUAGGAUGAGCCCAAGUGGGAUUAGGUAGUUGGUGAGGUAAAGGCUCACCAAGCCGACGAUCUCUAGCUGGUCUGAGAGGAUGACCAGCCACACUGGUGCUGAGACACGGCCCAGACUCCUACGGGAGGCAGCAGUGGGGAAUAUUGGACAAUGGGGGAAACCUGAUCCAGCCAUCCCGCGUGUGCGAUGAAGGCCUUCGGGUUGUAAAGCACUUUUGGCAGGAAAGCGGUACCUGCAGAAUAAGCACCGGCUAACUACGUGCCAGCAGCCGCGGUAAUUC
rnacentral:rRNA from 1 species